GAAGUUGUAUUCGGUAUUUUGAAUCACAGAAAAAUAAGUAUAAAAUAGCAACACUUUGUUUCGCCAUGUUUCAUUUCAUGAUGCAGGCAAAUGACAAAUCAAUUGAAGUCAGUGGCAUCUAGCGGUCAGUAAAGAACCAGUAGUCCAGUACCAAAAGAACAGCGCUCAAAAUGCGACCGCUUCGUCUGCUCCCAAGUUACACAAUACUUUUUUUUUUUUUAAACAAAACAACUUGCAAAACAAAUUCAGAUUAGGAUUUUGAGGUAACCGUCUUUGAAUAACACAACAUUUAGCUAAUGAUUCUCAUUGCAUUCUAGGCUUUUUCAGAAAAUUUCAGCUGAAGUUUUCGUGUGACCUAGGGUGCUUGUGACAUCAGAGAUCAAAUGGGUAUUUAUUUUGUCCAACAUUUAAAAUUAUUACUGUGACAUUUAGUAUAUAUCACAUUUCAUGUUGACUUUUUGCAUUCAAGUCUUAGUAAAUCUCCAAUAUUGCUGCCUUUCCCAGAUCUAAUUCUACAAUGUUAUUUAUUUUGAGGACAACUACAAGACAAUGUUACCACAUGGUAUUAAUCUGUGCUACGCAUUGCCCUUUUUAAGAAAUUGUUUUAAUUCUUUUUACACAAUCUAUUUUAAAUUGUUGGAAGAAAUAUGUAAAUAGGGAAGGAGAAGGUAAAAAAUGCGGUGUAUUGUUCGCAAACACAAUCGAAAAAAAAUCUUGUAAUUCCAUAACUUACCGAACACUUUAUUAAACUGGGAAAUUCAUAGCACACAAUAUUUUACUAGUACAAAAAUAUGAAAUCAAAUUAUUUUAAAACGCCGUCAAUGGAUCAUAUAGAUGUAAGAACAACAUAAAAUGCAAAGAUUUCUUUCGACACAGUGACAAACGAGAAUCCGCUUCGAAAAUUCAUUGAAACAGAUUUAAUAUUUGAUUAAAAAAGACAAAGAAUAAGCGCUAUAGUAUGUAAACAAUGAUGGCUUGUGGCUUGGUUAUUACACUUUUUUUAAAUUGCA